ACGAGUGGCGGACGGGUGAGUAAUGUCUGGGAAACUGCCCGAUGGAGGGGGGAUAACUACUGGAAACGGUAGCUAAUACCGCAUAACGUCGCAAGACCAAAGAGGGGGACCUUCGGGCCUCUUGCCAUCGGAUGUGCCCGGAUGGGAUUAGCUAGUAGGUGGGGUAAAGGCUCACCUAGGCGACGAUCCCUAGCUGGUCUGAGAGGAUGACCAGCCACACUGGAACUGAGACACGGUCCAGACUCCUACGGGAGGCAGCAUG
rnacentral:rRNA from 1 species